rnacentral:rRNA from 1 species
GAUGGAGGGGGAUAACUACUGGAAACGGUAGCUAAUACCGCAUAACGUCGCAAGACCAAAGUGGGGGACCUUCGGGCCUCAUGCCAUCAGAUGUGCCCAGAUGGGAUUAGCUAGUAGGUGGGGUAAUGGCUCACCUAGGCGACGAUCCCUAGCUGGUCUGAGAGGAUGACCAGCCACACUGGAACUGAGACACGGUCCAGACUCCUACGGGAGGCAGCAGUGGGGAAUAUUGCACAAUGGGCGCAAGCCUGAUGCAGCCAUGCCGCGUGUAUGAAGAAGGCCUUCGGGUUGUAAAGUACUUUCAGCGAGGAGGAAGGCGUUAAGGUUAAUAACCUUGGCGAUUGACGUUACUCGCAGAAGAAGCACCGGCUAACUCCGUGCCAGCAGCCGCGGUAAUACGGAGGGUGCAAGCGUUAAUCGGAAUUACUGGGCGUAAAGCGCACGCAGGCGGUCUGUCAAGUCGGAUGUGAAAUCCCCGGGCUCAACCUGGGAACUGCAUUCGAAACUGGCAGGCUAGAGUCUUGUAGAGGGGGGUAGAAUUCCAGGUGUAGCGGUGAAAUGCGUAGAGAUCUGGAGGAAUACCGGUGGCGAAGGCGGCCCCCUGGACAAAGACUGACGCUCAGGUGCGAAAGCGUGGGGAGCAAACAGGA